CCUGUUUUACUCUCUUUCCCUGUGUCUUGCUGCCAUUGCUUUUGUUUUCCAAUCUUUGGAAGGCUUAUAACAGAAAGAGAGAUAGAGCAAUUAAAGAAAGAAAUGAGAAAACCUUGCUGUGAUAAACAAGGGAACAACAAAGGAGCUUGGUCCAAGCAAGAAGACCAGAAGCUCAUCGAUUACAUUACAAUUCAUGGGGAAGGUUGCUGGCGUUCUCUCCCUAAGGCCGCUGGAUUGCACCGUUGCGGCAAAAGUUGCAGAUUAAGAUGGAUAAACUAUCUUAGGCCAGACAUCAAACGAGGCAACUUUGCUCAAGAUGAGGAGGACCUUAUUAUUAAGCUCCAUGCUCUCCUUGGCAACAGGUGGUCACUGAUAGCUGGGAGACUGCCGGGCAGGACUGACAAUGAGGUAAAGAACUAUUGGAAUUCUCAUCUGAGAAAAAAGCUAAUAAACAUGGGAAUAGACCCAAACAAUCAUCGCCUUAACCAAAUUCUUCCUCGACCUCAACCAGAGCGAGUUUCUUCUCCUAUUGAUGAAGAUACAUGUAAAACCAAAAAAUCCACGGGUGAUUAUAUUGAUAGGGUUUCUGAUGCAGCAAGUUCUUCACUCGAAGAGAAUGAAACUUCUGCUGGUUCUUCUGAUAUAAAUCUUGAUCUCACCAUUGCUGUUCCUUCUUCUGCUCAUACUUCAACUUCGGAAACCAGGCCAGAAAAUUGCGAUACUGCUGCAACUAGUGAAGUACGAAGCGAAACAUUACCCACGCUACUUCUCUUCUUAUGAGCAAUUUCGCUGUCUAGGCAAUCCUAAUUAAUUAAUUCAGCUUUGCUGGUGCUUUUGAUGGGAACUAUGGCUAUCUAAUUAAGCUAGAAAAAAGAGUCUUUUACUGAUAUUAAUUAGAUCAUUUGGUAAUUGUAAACCUAUUUCUGAUGCAUUUUAAGAGAAUUAAAGACUAGGUAAUUAGCUCAUGCCAAGGAAUGGUGGGGUUUUUUUUUUUUUUUUUUUGGGUUAAUAUUAUCUUCUUCAGUUGAGUGGUUUCAAAUUCAAGAAUAGUUAAGUGGGUUGUUGUUGGAUUUGAUAGUUAAUUCUUGUUUUCCAGCAAGAUUGGCCCUCUGGGUCUCUUUGUUCGCUCUGUUUCACUUACUUGGAUUUGGUAUGGUUUACUCUUGGUGCUUUUCUGGAGAUAGAUUCUUCAUUUAUCGACAUCUGUUCUUGAUCUGAUCGAAACAGCAACAUAAGGGUGCUUUAUUAUUUUCCAAGUGUAAGAAAAUGGAAUCCGAUCUUCAACAUCACCAUCAUUUCCUUCACGAUCACCACCAACACCAGCAACAUCACCAGAAACAAAUGAACUCUGGCUUGAUGAGGUACCAAUCUGCGCCAAGCUCGUAUUUCACUGGUUUCCUAGACAGGGGAUCCUGCGAAGAGUUCCUUGAUAGGCCAACGAGCCCUGAAACAGAAAGAAUUUUCGCAAGAUUUCUGGACAGUUCUGGUGGCAACACAGAGAACAUGUCAAAACAAAACUUCGGAGUAAUUAAGCAAGAUUCCCCAGUGAGAGAAGCAGGGGCACAAGUUAAUCAGCAAGCACAGAUUAUGGGUUCAAUGAAUAAUAAUGAUACAAUGUUGCAUCAACAGCAGCAGCAACAGAGCAAUUUUUCCUACGCCGCUUCACAGAGUGUUUAUCAAAACCAAUCAAGGCCACCAUUACCAGAUCACAAUUCAGGUUCUGGUAUGGAUUAUAGGAUGGUGACUUCAAUGGGAAUGGAGCGAUUACCACAAAUGAAGAGUUCUAGUUCGAAUCUGGUUCGGCACAGUAGCUCACCUGCAGGGCUUUUCUCCAAUCUAAAUAUUGAAGUGGAAAACGGCUAUGCUGUAUUGAGAGGCAUGGGAGAUUUUGGAGCAGGUAAUAGAGAAACAUCUUAUUCUGCAGCUAGUAGGCCUCCUCCUUCUCUUCCUUCAGGACGAAUGAGUCCAAUUGCUGAAAUUGGGAACAAAAACAUGGGAGAAAAUAGCCCAGAGAAUAGUGGUUUUGGUGAAACUCGCAGCAACAAUUAUGUCACAGGUUUCCCAAUGGGUUCUUGGGAUGAUACAAGUGUCAUCUCUGCUGGUGCUGGUGCAAGUGCAAAAAGACUAACAGAUGAUGAUAGGACACUUUCUGGCCUAAAUGCAUCUGAAACUCUGGACGGAGAUGCUGGAAAUCACCCUCCUAUGUUGGCUCAUCAUUUGAGUUUGCCAAAAACCUCAGCUGAAAUCUCAGCCAUUGAAAAGUUUCUGCAGUUGCAAGAUUCUGUGCCUUGCAAGAUUCGGGCUAAGCGUGGAUGCGCCACUCAUCCAAGGAGCAUUGCUGAGCGGGUGAGAAGAACUCGAAUUAGCGAACGCAUGAGGAAACUACAAGAUCUUGUACCUAACAUGGAUAAGCAAACAAACACAGCAGACAUGCUGGAUUUGGCUGUCGACUACAUUAAUGACCUCGAAAGACAAGUUAAGGUAUAUGUUAUAUACCAAGAAAUCUUUGAAACAAAAGGCCCUAUAAAAUAUUAAUAAGAGUCUUAAUCAGGCACUUUCACUUGCAUAAUUUCUGCUUCAUUUCUUCUUUAUUAUUCAUUUUGUUUUCGGGUUCUUUCAGACACUAUCAGAGACUCGUGCCAAGUGUACGUGCGCAAGCAAUCAGCAGCAGCCCUAGCAGAAAAUUCCCAAGUAUGACUUGGUCUUGGUUAUAUGUACAGAUUAUUUAAUAAGAAUUUGCAGAAGUAGGCGAUAUAAAAGGGAAGCUGGGUUAUGUUUUGCACUAAAAACACAGAGAGAUAUCUAUAGUAGCUAGCUAAUAAACACCUACCCAAUCUGAUAUGGAGAUGAAGGAAACUAAAUGCUGACUGUAAGAUCCAACUGAAACCUGUUGCGAAAAUAGAAAAGAAUAGCUGUGUAGUGGUAGCUUUGAUUGUAUGUUAUAACAUGUGUUUCCAUCUAGUUCUGGAGCUUAACAAUAUUAAGGUAAGUUUGUGUUUUAAGAAAACUGAGAAUUGUGCUUUGGUUUGAUUUGGAUGGCUUGCAUUUCACACGUUUCUUUUCUUUUCUUUCCUCUGUAUAGGAAAAGUUUUGCACUUUUACCUGCUUCUAUCUUGAAGUAAAGAAAGGUGCUUUCAAUGGUUUUCGCUUUUGGAUGUAGCCAACACGUGGGGGGCUAGGUAGCUUGCUACUUUAAUGGGUGGAUGGAAAAAUUAGUAAAGUUAAUUAUCAGUUAUAGAUCUAAUAUGAUUAAAUGAGCUCCACUCGUUUCAUCUCAUGUCUUGUACUUGGGUCAAUAUCACAAGCCAUUGUGUUUUGUUUCCCUAUUUAGUCUAAUUUUUUUCAAGUGUCUUCUGAUCAUACCACUCGUCUUCAGGACUGUGAAAUAUAUACUACUAUUGGUUUUGGAUGGCUAUAAAAUGGAGAGAUUGAAGUGGCACUUGUGAUUCUGGAAAGAUUUCCUUGCAAGUCAACAGAAAUAAAGAUCCGAAUGAGAUAAUUUAUAACGUGGUAAUGAAACAGGUGGCUAAGGGUUUGGUUGAUAGGUAGCGAGCGAGUGGUCACAGCUGGAUCCAAUGGAUGAGUCACUAUCCGAGUUGGGCCCAAAAUCUAUGAAGAAAGUGAGGGCCAUGUCAUUGCUGACCUCAGUAUACCUAAAUGCCCUGCCCUUUCUUGCACUCCAGAGGGCAUUUUCUUUUCCAUAAUUUCAGUGCACCACAUCAUUAAAAAUA
rnacentral:misc_RNA from 1 species